rfam:Cavia porcellus supercont2_42 genomic scaffold, whole genome shotgun sequence.
GGGGAUUUAGCUCAGCGGCAUAAGCGCCUGCCUUGCAAGCAGGCAGUUGAGAGUUCGAUCCCUG